GCGUGAUCUAAAGAUAGAUUCAUGUGAAGAAAGAUGAAUCCUUCUUUAUAUGGAAGAAAAAGCUCCGAUCCAUAAAUAACACUGACUGUCUUAUGUCUAGUUGAUAUUAUCUUACAUCCGAUGUACCAGCUUAAUAGUACACCAAGCCAAUUCACUGCCGCCACAUGGACAUUCUGGUUGUCUCAUUGUGAGGAACAAAAGAAGGCCAAGCAUUCUAUCUCUUCCUCUCACAAGAGGAGAAUGAAAUUUGUUGCGACCUUUCUUUGGUAGGUAGUCGGUAGUCGGUCUGAAGCCAACUAAGGACUAUGCUAUGAGUAGGCAGCAGAAUCGUCAGAAGAUAAUGUGCCGUCACCAAAAAGGAUACACCAGUCAAGGCUGAGACCAAAGGCGAUGAUGUGGAUGAAAGAGAGAUGGUGUCGGGAACCACUCAGCAUCGGAGAAAAAAAUCUACAAAACAAGUUCUGCCAGAGGUGGCUCCGAUAAGGAUCCUCCGAUAUUUAAGUCAGUGUGAUGGUUCGAGAGAAAAGAGUGACAGUGUCUGAAUCGCAAAAAUAGUAUGUGCAUGCCCCCCUUACUUGGAGAGAUCCCAACUUACCUCUAUUUAUAGAGGAAACAAAAUGAAUGGUGAGAGGACAGCUGAUCAUGUCAAUCAUAUCCUAUUAUAUGGUGCCGUAUGAUGCCGUGCAGAUGUCUUUAAAUGCUGACGGUGAGCGUGCCUUCCACUCGGUGCGCUUAUAAUGGAAGACACUAUCGGGUGUGGGGUAUAAUUAAUGACCCUAUAGGUGCAUUUAAUGAAAUCAUAAUAUCCCAUCAUGGUGUGCAGCUAUCUUACCAGAGUAUGGUGUCUGAGUGAUAUGACCUUGAUGUGGCCUGUCAUGAUCGUAUGAUGGUUAUAUAUUCAGUGCUCAGCUAGUCAGUUGAGACCCAUGUUGUCAGAGUCGGCAGAAUGGGACCGUUGAGUUGCCUUGUCCUCGAUAGUUCAUACUCGGCUGCU
rnacentral:lncRNA from 1 species